CUUUGCGUAAGCAGUAAGACACCUCAGAGACGAUGAGGUAGAUAGGCUGGGAGUGGAAGUCCUGUGAAGGAUGGAGCGGACCAGUACUAAUCAGUCGAGGACUUGACCAAA
rnacentral:rRNA from 1 species